AAAUAGAUCAGUGCCAACGAGAGGGGAUGGGGAUCAGACGAUAAGGACGCCUGAUCCACACCCUUAAUGGAUGGUUUAAAGUGGAGAGGGAAUUGAAACAUGGGAAGAAAAAAGAUUAAUGAUCUUCCACUUGUAGAUCCAUCAUAAAUUAUACAUACACCCGGAGCUAAUCCGCCGCUCGCUGCGCAUGGAUCUCCGACCUCUCUCCGCCCCCGGCCGGUCGCCCAACGACGCCACCACUCGAACCGGAACCGCCGACCUCCAGUCGUGCGGAUUGACGGGCCUCCGCGCCGCCGCGGGCCGCGGAUCUCCGCCCACGGACGUCACCGUUCCGCGCCUGGGCGACCUCGUCUUCAACUUCCCGUCUUCCCGUAGGGCCACAUUGAGCAGCUCUGUUCAUGUGUGAUUCUUCAAUCCAUGGACGAAGAUUUUUGGCGAUCCUGGCCGAUGCUAUUUUCUAGCCGAUUCAAUCCAUGGCCGAUCCAAUUGAUGGUAAUGCAAAAGCCACACUUAUCUUAUUGACAUGUUACUGGAAUUCUCAUGGAGCUCGAAAGAUUAAUGUUCUGUAAAAUGAGACUGGGAAAGCUUAAAAAUAAUGACAACUACCUGUCGUCAUCACUGUUCAUGGCUGAAUCUGAAUGAAAUAUAUGAUGAAUUUCUGAAUCCAGCUAUCAAACAUGUGGUAAUAGUUUCAGAAUAUAGCAAAAUGUCUAACCUGUACAUGUGUUUGGGUCAAUUACAAGUGUUUCACCACUCACCAAGGCUUUCAUAUCCCACCACACAAAGAUGAAGACGGCAUUCAUUGCUUCGUGCAGAGAGAGAUGUUGUUAGGAGGCAUACAUACACAGGUUAUGGCGAGUAAAAUCACAAUAACUAUCAAUGAAUUUCUAUUUUGAUUCAAAGGCACAUCACCUAAUUGGUUGCUCCGAUUCUUAGAGCAUUAAGAUGUUUUAAGAAGGUUCCAGUAAUAGGGCACAACCCUCACAGUUAUCCUGUCUCAUUUGUUUACUGAGAUGAUAUAAGUUUUUUACUGGUAUACAAAGGGAUAAAUUUUGGGUAAACUUUGCACACUGCAAAAUAAUUGAUGCUAAUCUGACACUUGUUUACUCGCCAAUUUUGUUCUACUGACACUAUUCUUGAAUUAUCAUGGAUGCAAGGGAACUGCUUGUUCAAAAUUCAUAAUCCUAGCUUCAAAACCGUUCAAACUCACUCAAUAAUUCUGGAGUUUGAUUGUAAAAAAAAUACUCUGAUUUCCGUUUUCCUAUUAAGUAAAGGUUUUUAUUUCCAGACUGGACUAUGUGACAUGUCAGUAAUAUAUAGUGAAAAAGUUCAACUCUUGAAGCUUAGUGUUUGGCAUUUGAUUCUGCGCCUUAGGGAGUAUGUAGUUUGUUUAUUAGCAUCCAGAUGAAGUCAUCUUACAUGAGCUACACUAAAUUUACAUGAUAGACUGGUGUUAUCCUUAUAUUUGUUUUUGUAGAAAAGACUAAAAGGAGGGAUGACUUUUGACAUCGAAACUUUGGCUGUUAUGCUAGGUCAUCUACUGUUCCAUAAGACUUGUUAUUUUUCAUUUUGAACAUUUCAGCCUUAUUGUUGCAGGCUUGACUGGUGUUAUCGUGGAGGGCUGAGUCGUGCAACAAACAAGAGCAUCUUCCAAGCUAAUAACUGGGUGGAUCAUGAGCGCACCACCACAAAGCUGAUUCUUCACCUUCACUUACUGAAUCCCUUCCAUUUGGUUGUGUUCCUAUAUGGCUGCUUUUUGAUGGAGUGAGGCGUGAGCGUAUAACUUCUCUUGUUUGUGUGAAAAGGAAAAGGAUAUAUACGUUUGCCUUUAUUAUUGAUCAGCGUACAACAUGCUCCGCUUAUCAUUUUGCGCCCACCCUAGAUUGUUUUCAAUGCUUGAUGUAGUCUAAUAACAUUUGUAAAACAUAUAGUAGGAUUUCAUGAUUUUUUUUCCUAUGCUC